GGUGAGAUGGCCGAGCGGUCUAAGGCGCUGCACUCAAGCUUCAUUGGCUUUCUUGAUCAAUCAAGACGCAUUGCAGUCUAUUCAUUUAGGCGGGGGUUCGAAUCCCCCUCUCAUCA
rnacentral:tRNA from 1 species